AUCCAAAUGACGAGUCCCAAAUAGGGCGAAACACUCGGCCUAGAU
rfam:Schistosoma haematobium scaffold60_44, whole genome shotgun sequence.